UGAAUGUCUCUAUGGCUACAGGGCAAUCAGUGUUUUCUGGUGAUAUCUUUGUGUGGCUCCCACUGAUGGAAAAACAUAGUCUUUGAUGAUUCAUACUCCCUUCUUUUCUCCAAAGCCUUUCCUAUGGCAUGGAUUCUUUCCUGAGUAUUUCCUGGGCAUCACUGGUUUCAUUGUUUGAGAGUAGACAUAUCCAGGCAGUCAAGGCACCAGGAAGAAGUUCAGCCAGAUAAGAUAGCUCUAACUUUUAAGGGGAAAAGUGUGCAUCACAAAUUAUCUGCCUGUACAGAGGAAGUUGAUGACUUUAUAAAGGCGAUUUUAAUUCUCCCUUGGUCACUGAAGGAGUUCCACUGUGCACCUUCCAAAGGUCCCAUUAUGAACCUUUCGAAAAAACUAAAAAUAAUUCAAUUGGAUUCGAUGAAACUUUAAAAUUUGUAUUUAAUCUUGCUUCAGUAUACUAAAACAUCCAUGAAGAAACCACCAAUCAAACUCUCCAGUUCAUCUCAAGGAAUGUGAGCUUUCUAAAUGUUGAGGACAGAGGUGUUUCCUCUUCUUUCCAUUCCAACACUCAGUCCUGGAUCCAAAUUUGUGUGGCUGUCGGGAAACAAAUGAACAAACCAACUUGCCUGAGUCAUCAGUUUUGCAUGCAACCCUUGGAUUUGACAUUUUCCAGCAGUGUUCUGACAAAAUAGGUCAGAAGAGUUAGAUACAGAUUAUAUUGUUGAUAAAUACUUUGGACAUAGAAAUCCAUAAAAACAAUGCAAAAUAAUUCAUCAUCAUCACCAUAGCUAGCAUUUACAUAGUGGUUUUUUUGUUUGUUUGUUUGGCAGGGCAAUGAGGGUUAAGUGACUUGCUCAGGGUCACACAGCCAGUAAGUGUCAAUUGUCUGAGGUCAAAUUUGAACUCAAGUCCUCCUGAAUCCAGGGCCAGUACUUUAUCCACUGCACCACCUAGCUGCCCCCUACAUAGUGUUUUAAGGAUUGCAAUUCACUUCAUGUAUAUCAUUCCAUUUGAUCCCGUAACAACCCUGGAAAGCAGGUACUAUUAUCCCCAUAUCACAGAUAAAGAGUCUGAGGCUGAGAGUCUGAGGCUGAGAUGUUAAAUGACUUGCCUACUCAGUGGAUGAGAAUUCAGGGCUUCCUUACUCUAGGUCCAUCAUGCUCUAUUCACCGAGAAGCCCUAAGUCCUGAGUAGGCCCUUUUCCCUUGUACUGUUAUGGCAGCAAAAUGGCAUAAAAGACCUUCUGUUGAAGGUCUAUAUUAUCAGAUGCAGCUGAUACCUAUAUUGCUUUUUACUAUUUUUCUGUUAUUAGGAAUGGUCCAGUUUAGGAAGUACAGGGGGGUGGAGUUGGUGAGUAUAUCCAGAAAUUACAGAAAUAUGAAUAAAAAAUGAAUCAGUAAAACUUAUCUCUAAAAAAGGGGAGGAGGGUGGCAAUUAGGUGGCGCAAUGGAUAAAGCAUUGGUCCUGGAUUCAGGAGGACCUGAGUUCAAAUCC